rnacentral:tRNA from 1 species
GGACCCGUGGUGUAGGGUGAGCGUGAUUGCCUUUCACCCAGUCGGUCUGGGUUCGAUCCCAGAAGGUCCC